rnacentral:rRNA from 1 species
UUCCUGGGUCUCGUACUCACCGCCCGUCAAGUCAUGGAAGCUAGGGGCACCCGACAACUCCAAAUCAAUACUGGGGGCUAAGGUGAAACUAGUGACUGGGACU